AGAGUUUGAUCCUGGCUCAGGAUGAACGCUGGCGGCGUGCCUAACACAUUCAAGUCGAACGGAGAUAUACGGAAGCUUGCUUUUGUAUAUUUUAGUGGCGGACGGGUGAGUAAUGCAUGAGCAACCUGCCUUGAAGAGGGGGAUAACACAGAGAGAUUUGUGCUAAUACCGCGUAAUCUGCCGAAGCGGCAUCGCGUUGGCAGGAAAGGAGCGAUCCGCUUUAAGAUGGGCUCAUGUCUGAUUAGAUAGUUGGUAGGGUAACGGCCUACCAAGUCUGCGAUCAGUAGCCGGACUGAGAGGUUGAACGGCCACAUUGGAACUGAGAUACGGUCCAGACUCCUACGGGAGGCAGCAGUGGGGAAUAUUGGGCAAUGGGCGAAAGCCUGACCCAGCAACGCCGCGUGAAGGAAGAAGGUCUUCGGAUUGUAAACUUUUUUGACAGGGGACGAAGCAUGACGGUACCCUGAAAACAAGCCACGACUAACUACGUGCCAGCAGUCGCGGUAAUACGUAGGUGGCAAGCGUUAUCCGGAUUUACUGGGUGUAAAGGGUGAGUAGGCGGGUAAACAAGUCAGAUGUGAAAUACAAAGGCUUAACCUUUGAACUGCAUUUGAAACUGUAUAUCUUGAGAGUCGGAGAGGUAAUCGGAAUUCCCGGUGUAGCGGUGAAAUGCGUAGAGAUCGGGAGGAACACCAGUGGCGAAGGCGGAUUACUGGACGACCACUGACGCUGAGGCGCGAAAGCGUGGGGAGCGAACAGGAUUAGAUACCCUGGUAGUCCACGCGGUAAACGAUGAAUGUUAGGUGUUGCGGGUAUCGACCCCUGCAGUGCCGGAGUAAACACAAUAAACAUUCCGCCUGGGGAGUACGGUCGCAAGGUUGAAACUCAAAGGAAUUGACGGGGGCCCGCACAAGCAGCGGAGCAUGUUGUUUAAUUCGAAGCAACGCGAAGAACCUUACCAGGUCUUGACAUCCGAUUAAACUUACAGAGAUGUGAGGUCCCUUCGGGGGAAUCGAGACAGGUGGUGCAUGGUUGUCGUCAGCUCGUGUCGUGAGAUGUUGGGUUAAGUCCCGCAACGAGCGCAACCCUUAUGGUCAGUUACUAACGCGUAGCGGCGAGGACUCUGACAAGACUGCCGGGGACAACUCGGAGGAAGGUGGGGACGACGUCAAAUCAUCAUGCCCCUUAUGACCUGGGCUACAAACGUGCUACAAUGGUGACAACAAAGAGGAGCGAGACCGUAAGGUGGAGCGGAUCUCAAAAAAGUCAUCUCAGUUCGGAUUGUGGGCUGCAACCCGCCCACAUGAAGUUGGAGUUGCUAGUAAUCGCGGAUCAGCAUGCCGCGGUGAAUACGUUCCCGGGCCUUGUACACACCGCCCGUCACACCAUGGGAGUUGGGAGCACCCGAAGUCAGUAGUCCAACCGCAAGGAGGACGCUGUCGAAGGUGGGAUUGAUGACUGGGGUGAAGUCGUAACAAGGUAACC
rnacentral:rRNA from 1 species